GACGAACGCUGGCGGCGUGCUUAACACAUGCAAGUCGAACGGUAAGGCCCUUCGGGGUACACGAGUGGCGAACGGGUGAGUAACACGUGGGUGAUCUGCCCUGCACUUCGGGAUAAGCCUGGGAAACUGGGUCUAAUACCGGAUAGGACCACUGCCUGCAUGGGUGGUGGUGGAAAGCUUUUGCGGUGUGGGAUGGGCCCGCGGCCUAUCAGCUUGUUGGUGGGGUGAUGGCCUACCAAGGCGACGACGGGUAGCCGGCCUGAGAGGGUGACCGGCCACACUGGGACUGAGAUACGGCCCAGACUCCUACGGGAGGCAGCAGUGGGGAAUAUUGCACAAUGGGCGCAAGCCUGAUGCAGCGACGCCGCGUGAGGGAUGACGGCCUUCGGGUUGUAAACCUCUUUCAGCACCGACGAAGCGCAAGUGACGGUACCUGGAGAAGAAGCACCGGCCAACUACGUGCCAGCCGCCGCGGUAA
rnacentral:rRNA from 1 species